UACGAAGGGGGCUAGCGUUGCUCGGAAUCACUGGGCGUAAAGCGCACGUAGGCGGCUUGUUAAGUCAGGGGUGAAAUCCUGGAGCUCAACUCCAGAACUGCCUUUGAUACUGACGAUCUCGAGUCCGGGAGAGGUGAGUGGAACUGCGAGUGUAGAGGUGAAAUUCGUAGAUAUUCGCAAGAACACCAGUGGCGAAGGCGGCGCACUGGCCCGGUACUGACGCUGAGGUGCGAAAGCGUGGGGAGCAAACAGG
rnacentral:rRNA from 1 species